UCGAGCGCACUGGCCCAACAGAAAUGACGUGCUUGCACUGAUUUGACGUUGGAUUCCCAGUGAGCGGCGGACGGGUGAGUAACACGUGGGCAACCUGCCCCAAAGCGGGGGAUAACAUUUGGAAACAGGUGCUAAUACCGCAUAACUUGGAAAACCACAUGGUUUUCCAAUAAAAGAUGGUUUCGGCUAUCACUUUGGGAUGGGCCCGCGGUGCAUUAGCUAGUUGGUAAGGUAACGGCUUACCAAGGCGAUGAUGCAUAGCCGAGUUGAGAGACUGAUCGGCCACAAUGGAACUGAGACACGGUCCAUACUCCUACGGGAGGCAGCAGUAGGGAAUCUUCCACAAUGGGCGCAAGCCUGAUGGAGCAACACCGCGUGAGUGAAGAAGGGUUUCGGCUCGUAAAACUCUGUUGUUGGAGAAGAACGUGCGUAAGAGUAACUGUUUACGCAGUGACGGUAUCCAACCAGAAAGUCACGGCUAACUACGUGCCAGCAGCCGCGGUAAUACGUAGGUGGCAAGCGUUAUCCGGAUUUAUUGGGCGUAAAGCGAGCGCAGGCGGUUGCUUAGGUCUGAUGUGAAAGCCUUCGGCUUAACCGAAGAAGUGCAUCGGAAACCGGGCGACUUGAGUGCAGAAGAGGACAGUG
rnacentral:rRNA from 2 species